AAGCAUUCAAGAUUCAUUGCUUAUAACAGGCAGAAGAGCUUUCCAAUCUGCCUGUGAAAUCAGGUGAACAAAAUCCCUCACCGGAGCCUCGGUGGGAAAACAGAUGCUGCAUUUUGGGCCAUGCUUUCCCCAGGAAAGAAUCUUCCUGCUUGUAAAACACACAGUCACCGCCACUAACCACAUUUGCCAGGCGUUUCGUUCCAUUUCAUGUGGGCAUAGCAGAAGCAUUCUCUCUCUUGACCGGUCCUCAUCUCUGCUUCUCCUGCAGGAAUCAAGGAUUUCGAGCUACUGUGAAGAUUCGAGGAGGUUUUGAAAAGUCUGGUUCUUACACGAGAGAGAGAGAGAGAGAGAGAGAAGAAAAAAUCCACUUUCACACAGGGCACUGUCACCUUUUCCUUGUGC